CAGAGAGAUGACGGUAUAGCCAUGAUUUGCCACUGAGAGGAUGGAGUCAGCCCAGGGAGAUAUUUCUAAACUGCGGAAAUCGGUCAGAUUAGAGAGGGGGGUUUGUAAGUAAUUUAUAGCUGAGUAAGUGGGAUUCGCCAUGAGCCUACCUUGUGGGAAUCCUCUCAAACAUUCCCACUACGAGCUCAGAAAAGCCUCAUGGCAAGUCACAGGGCAGGAAAUUGCGGGGGAGGAGGGGUUGGGGGGGCGAGAAGGCAGAAACAGGAAGCAGGGAACAGGAAGGACAGGUGAAGAAAGAUGAGGUUUCCAUAAACAGGAAACAACCGUAUGGCCUCUUUACCUCUCACAUCUUAUGUGGACACAAACGGAGAACCCCACUUCCAACCAGGAGGGAGACCUGCCUUCUCGCACCAGGCUUAAUCAAUCCUGGUAGACAGAUACUCAACCAGGCUCCGGUGAGGGGCUGCAGAACAUGCUUAAAAUGAAGGGAAAUGAAUUUAUGAAAAAGGCUGCCAAGUAGGAUCAAGGAAGGUGCCAGCAAUUCAGGAAGCAAACAGCACCGAAGCAGGCAUGCAGGGCCCAGAGAGACAAGAGUAACUGACCCAGGAAAGUCACCGAGCUUGGCAGAAGCAGCCACAGUUGCAGACUUACCACCAAAGUGUUUCUUACCUUCCUGGUUGAUGAGGUGGGGAGUAGACAGGGUACCAUGUUGCAUGCUCCUAGCACAAAAAUCAGUGUCAUCACCAUCACUGCUAUGCUAUUUAGUUGGAAAUUCCUAAGCGAUGUUCAUUUAGUAGACAGUUGAAGCCAGAUAAACAGACCUUUUCCAGCCUUUGGUUUCCUGCCCAAUUUUACUUUAAUCCAUGUUCCUUCCAUUUUGAUAAAUGGAAAAAAUAUUUUGAGUUUAGUAUGUUCCCUUGUAUGGGAAUUUCUCUGAGAAUCCCUUAAGAGUCUAUUUAUCAUCCAGGCAGGAAAAGUUUGUUGAGCUUUGCAUUUUGUUGAUUGUAUAAUGAAAAGAAUGCACACUUUCUAUUGUUCAGUAAAUACAGAAUAUUGCAUGUAUACAGUAGUAUACUGAUUUACAUAUUGCUUAAUAUAUUAUCAUACUGAAUGUUUUUCCCAAGCAUGCAUAGCUCUUUUCUCCUCUCCCCAAUGCCCGUCGCCAAGCCCUUCACAAAAAAAUCACCGCUUUAGGACUUAGCCUAGGAAUAUUAUCCCGUUUCUAAUACACACUGCAGAGUGGUUUU
ensembl:lncRNA